CCUACGGGUGGCAGCAGUGAGGAAUAUUGGUCAAUGGGCGGGAGCCUGAACCAGCCAAGCAGCGUGAAGGAAGACGGCCCUAAGGGUUGUAAACUUCUUUUGUACAGGAAUAAAGCGAGGCACGUGUGCCCUGUUGUAUGUACUUUAUGAAUAAGGAUCGGCUAACUCCGUGCCAGCAGCCGCGGUAAUACGGAGGAUCCCAGCGUUAUCCGGAUUUAUUGGGUUUAAAGGGUGCGUAGGCGGGUUGUUAAGUCAGAUGUGAAAGGUCGGGGCUUAACCGGGGAAUUGCAAUUAAUACUGGCAGUCUAGAGUAGAGUUGAGGUAGGCGGAAUGCGUGGUGUAGCGGUGAAAUGCUUAGAGAUCACGAAGAACUCCGAUUGCGAAGGCAGCUUACUAAUCUGCCACUGACGUUGAGGCACGAAAGUGUGGGUAGCAAACAGGAUUAGAUACCCGGGUAGUC
rnacentral:rRNA from 1 species